CCUACGGGGGGCAGCAGUGGGGAAUAUUGGGCAAUGGGCGCAAGCCUGACCCAGCAACGCCGCGUGAAGGAAGAAGGCUUUCGGGUUGUAAACUCCUUUUCUGAGGGACGAAGAAAGUGACAGUACCUCAGGAAUAAGCCACGGCGAACUAAGUGCCAGCAGCCGCUGUAAUACGUCGGGGUCAAGAGUUAUCCGGAUGUAUUGGGUUUAAAGAGCGGGUAGGCGGGAAUGCAAGUUAGAUGGUAAAACUCUGGGCUCAACCCUGAGCCUGCCUUUGACACUGUUUGUCUUGAGUGCGGGAGAGGCAAUCGGAAUUCCGUGUGUAGCGGUGAAAGGCGUAGAUAUAAGGAGGAACACCAGUGGCGAAGGCGGAAUGCUGGACCGUAACUGACGCUGAGGCGCGAAAGCGUGGGGAGCAAACAGGAUUAGAUACCCGAGUAGUC
rnacentral:rRNA from 1 species